rnacentral:rRNA from 1 species
GUUUUCGGAUCGUAAAACUCUGUUGUAAGGGAAGAACACGUACGAGAGGAAAUGCUSGUACCUUGCCGGUACCUUACGAGAAAGCCACGGCUAACUACGUGCCAGCAGCCGCGGUAAUACGUAGGUGGCAAGCGUUGUCCGGAAUUAUUGGGCGUAAAGCGCGCGCAGGCGGCCUUUUAAGUCUGAUGUGAAAGCCCCCGGCUCAACCGGGGAGGGCCAUUGGAAACUGGAAGGCUUGAGUACAGAAGAGAAGAGUGGAAUUCCACGUGUAGCGGUGAAAUGCGUAGAGAUGUGGAGGAACACCAGUGGCGAAGGCGACUCUUUGGUCUGUAACUGACGCUGAGGCGCGAAAGCGUGGGGAGCAAACAGGAUUAGAUACCCUGGUAGUCCACGCCGUAAACGAUGAGUGCUAGGUGUUGGGGGGUUUCCGCCCCUCAGUGCUGAAGCUAACGCAUUAAGCACUCCGCCUG